UCCUGCAUGGCUAACAGAAAACAGAGCUUCCUUCAAACUCCUGCAGCAGCUGGCUGGGGAGAUCUUUCUUUCCCCACUUUUAAAAUAGCCAUAUGCAGUGCAAAAUGACCAAAAUGUCAGAUUGUAUUAUAAAUUAAUCUCACCAGGGCUCAGUGUAACAAUUACAAAAACCCUGUGGAAGUUUGAGCCUUUUCAAAAUAUUUUGAUAGGCUAAAAAAUAAAACAGUAAAAAGAUGAUAAAGCACUUUUAGACUAUCAAGUCAGAUCAUCUUACAAUAGAGGUCAUUCAUUUGGAAGAAUAAAAAUGGCUUGUUCACAUGGAAAAUCACUUAAGGGCUUUUUAAAGCUUUGGCUUCUAUUAGCACUACUUUAAGAAUCAAUAAUGUGGGAACGUUAAAGAAUCCAUGUUUCCUGUUAAUCAUAUGAAGAUUAAGUGAAGUGCCUCAGGAGAAUGCAUAUUUCAGCACUGAAACAGCCCAACUUCAGUCCUGCCUGCACAGAUGUCAAACUUGCGGCCGAUGGGCCGGAUGUGUCACACACUGACCACGCCCAUGCCUGGUUUAUCAAAGAAAAAAGUUGUGAUAUAUCACGUGACAAUGCUGUGACGAUGCGAGUGUGACACCCCUGAUCUAAUGGAAGGGGCUGCACACCUUACUUUAUGAUAAGGUAAGCACUGAAUAUGUACUGAAUAAUCAACUAAUUUUUAGCUUCUUAAGCUGUUACUGUAUGGAUAUUUGUGGUGUGCAAAUCCUUUAUUUUGGACUUCCAAGUAGCAUGACAAAAAGUUUCUGCUUGAAUUGCUGAAGCAGCCACGUCUUCUUCAAGCUUUGGACAGUGUCAUACAUUGUUCCCACUAACACUGGAGGCAUGCAUGUGCAUAACAGUCACCAAAUCUCACCGUUUUCUCUGAUGGAUGUGAUUUGUACAAUUUUAAUCCAAUGUCAUUAUUGUCAAACUCCUAUAAUUGUAAGUUGCAUAAAAUGUUCAGUAAUCAUGUGAAGAUUUAAGUCAAAUUUAAAGGAAGCAGCAAUUUCUUCAAUUAAAGCUUUUUCUGGCAAAAAAAAAAAAAAAAAAAAAAGCUUCAGAAAAUACAAUAUUUUAUUUCCCUAGCAGUCUUUUAUGGAAAUGGCCUUCUAAUCUACAGUUUCAAUCUGUGCUACAAAGUUAUUAUUAAAUAACAACAAUACAGUAAAUCUAACAUUGAAGCUACUAGAUUUAAAUGGCACAUUUUUUUCUUGAUUGUCAUCUGCAUCAUUCUAGCAACAAUAAACUCCUCUACAUUUAUUUCAAGCUUAUUCAUGUACGCUAGCUAAGGGUUUUGGGAUCUGUAUACCCAAUAAAUGAUUCAUAAUGAAAUAGAUUUAAAUAAGACUUUUAAUCAGGUGCUAUACAUUCUGGAUUAUUCUCAUGCUUACAGGAACCUUUCUGAAUUAUACUUCCUUGACUGAGUUGUGAGCUGUCUACACCCAGUGGCGAUCAAAGUCAAGUUUAAUGGUUUUAGGAAAUUGGUUGUUCUUUUUAAGCUUGCUUCCCUUUAUGUCCCAAAAGACUCUGCAUUAAAUAGUUGUCCGGCAAUUUUCUGGCCUGUUUUAGCAUAUGAGCUAUUUUAGCUUUUUUCUGACUUUUUCCAAGGAUCAUUCUUUUAAGUUUAAAGGGGGAGGGAGAGAUUUGUUUGAGGAAGGAAGUCACAUUUCCAUAAUUCCUGAAUGUAGAACUGCAGCCCCAAGAUUUUGACUUGUCCCCCCCCCCCCCAUUGCCAUGCACUGCAAAUGCCUUUAGGAAGAAAGUCAUAUGGAUCUUUGAAUGGCCAUUAUUAUUCUGUGAUGGAUUCUUUGGGGAAAUUAUACAGACAACCGAAAAAAGUCUAUUCUAUGAACUUUAUUAUAGAAAAUUGCAUAAACAAGGUAUUAAUUUAUUUAACAUUACUUAACUCUUAAUGCUUAAACCAUUUUAUAUGAGGCAUGUCUCUAAAAUCAAAAUAGCCCUAGGUCUAAUUAUUUUCAUCUUUUGUCUUACAGGUAUGCUUGGCUUUUUUAACCUGCAUAAAGUAACAUUCUUCAAUCUGAGAUGCAAUCUUUCCAUUUGCUGAAGCUAGGACACCUACUUUAGCUUGCCUUUAGCCACCUUGGUUUUAAGAUGGCUGGUGUUCUAAUAGUUUCACUUAGGGCCUUUGACUAUUAUUCCAAACUGAUGUAGUGCUUUGGGGUCUCCUAGCAUUCUUAUUUUGUCUUGUAGGAGAAAGAAAGUUCAUAAGCCGAGGUGGCACAGUGGUUAAAUGCAGCACUGCAGGCUACUUCAGCUGACUGCAGUUUUGCAGUUCGGCUGUU